rnacentral:rRNA from 1 species
GACGAACCGUGCGAACGUUGUUCGGAAUCACUGGGUUUAAAGGGCGCGUAGGCGGGCUGUCAAGUCGGUGGUGAAAUCUUUCAGCUUAACUGGAAAAUGGCCUUCGAUACUGGCGGUCUGGAGGAAGGUAGGGGCAUGCGGAACUUCCGGUGGAGCGGUGAAAUGCGUAGAUAUCGCCUGGAACGCCGAAGGUGAAAACAGUCUGCUGGGGGUGUGCCGACGCUGAGACACGAAAGCCAGGGGAGCGAACGGG